GCUGGGCGUGGUGAUGCAUGUCUGUAGUCCCAGCUACUCAGGAGGCUGAGGCAGGAGGAUUGCUUGAGCCCAGGAGGCAGAGGCUGCAGUGAGCUGAGAUUGCGCCACUGCACUCCAGCCUGGGCAACAUAGGGAGAUCCUGUCUCAA
rnacentral:SRP_RNA from 2 species